rnacentral:rRNA from 1 species
CUACGGGAGGCUCCAGUCGAGAAUCAUUCGCAAUGGGCGAAAGCCUGACGAUGCGACGCCGUGUGAACGAAGAAGGCCUUCGGGUUGUAAAGUUCUUUCGCUUGGGGACAAGAGAAUAAGGUAAAUAAUCUUAUGAUUUGAGGGUACCAGGUAAAGAAGCACCGGCUAACUCCGUGCCAGCAGCUGCGGUAAUACGGAGGGUGCAAGCAUUAAUCGGAUUUACUGGGCGUGAAGGGCGUCUAGGCGGCUAAGAAAGUCACCUGUGAAAUUUCGGAUUUCAACUUCGAAACGGCAGGUGAAACUGUUUAGCUAGAGGAUAGGUGGAGGAAAUGGAAUUCCGCGUGUAGCGGUGAAAUGCGUAGAUAUGCGGAGGAAUACCGGUGGCGAAGGCGAUUUUCUAACUUAUACCUGACGCUGAAGCGCGAAAGCAAGGGGAGCAAACAGGAUUAGAUACCCGCGUAGUC